rnacentral:rRNA from 1 species
AGUGAACGCUGGCGGUAGGCCUAACACAUGCAAGUCGAACGGCAGCACAGUAAGAGCUUGCUCUUACGGGUGGCGAGUGGCGGACGGGUGAGGAAUACAUCGGAAUCUACUUUUUCGUGGGGGAUAACGUAGGGAAACUUACGCUAAUACCGCAUACGACCUACGGGUGAAAGCAGGGGAUCUUCGGACCUUGCGCGAUUGAAUGAGCCGAUGUCGGAUUAGCUAGUUGGCGGGGUAAAGGCCCACCAAGGCGACGAUCCGUAGCUGGCCUGAGAGGAUGAUCAGCCACACUGGAACUGAGCCACGGUCCAGACUCCUACGGGAGGCAGCAGUGGGGAAUAUUGGACAAUGGGCGCAAGCCUGAUCCAGCCAUACCGCGUGGGUGAAGAAGGCCUUCGGGUUGUAAAGCCCUUUUGUUGGGAAAGAAAAGCAGCAGGUUAAUACCCCGCUGUUCUGACGGUACCCAAAGAAUAAGCACCGGCUAACUUCGUG